UACGUAGGGGGCAAGCGUUGUCCGGAAUCAUUGGGCGUAAAGAGCGUGUAGGCGGCCAGAUAAGUCCGCUGUGAAAUCUCGAGGCUCAACUUCGAGCUGUCGGUGGAAACUGUCUGGCUAGAGUCCGGAAGAGGAGAAUGGAAUUCCUAGUGUAGCGGUGAAAUGCGCAGAUAUUAGGAAGAACACCGGUGGCGAAGGCGGCUCUCUGGAACGGUACUGACGCUGAGACGCGAAAGCGUGGGGAGCGAACAGG
rnacentral:rRNA from 1 species